rnacentral:misc_RNA from 1 species
GGAAUACGCUAGCCUAUAGAAGACGUGGCGAAUCUAGCCGCUAAGAAUUAAGGGCUUGCCGUGUGUCGCGUCGUGCCUGUGGCCUCGCCGGGAAUCGCUUGACAGCGGCACAGCACUGCAUACAUCACGACAAGUGAGAUUUGGAUGACGCUUAACUGUCUACAUGUGCCUGACUGUCGACUCCAUGACCUCUUCUUCUGUGUACGUACGCGCACUCUGAAGGAAAGACGGACGGGCGGGACUGUGGGCCAUGAAUAAAUGCUCCUUUACCCCACCAUCGAAUUGGGCGCAGCUUUUCGCGCGCCUGGAGGAUUAUCGAAAACACUUAAAGGCCCCAGUGGACACGAUGGGGUGCCACCGCCUCCGCGACGAGUAUGCGCCAAAGGAGGUUCAGCGUUUCCACACGUUAGUGGCGCUCAUGCUCAGUGCACAGACAAAGGACGUCGUGACCGCGGCUGCGAUGGAUACGCUGAUCAAGCACGGACUGACUGCGCAGUCGGUUCAUGCAAUGACGGAGACAGAACUGGAUAAGCAUAUCUGCAAAGUUGGGUUUCACAACAAGAAGGCGAAGAACAUCAAGGAAGUCGCCGCGAUUCUCAUGAAAAACUACGAUGGAGAGGUACCGCGAGAGUACGCAGAGUUGAUUGCACUGCCUGGCGUCGGCCCGAAAAUGGCGAACCUGUUUUUCCAAGACGCCGAUCACCGCGUUAUCGGCAUUGGCGUCGAUACACAUGUUCACCGCAUCUCGCAGCGUUACCGGUGGGUACCAAGCACCGUGAAGACGCCGGAGGACACGCGCAAGGCGCUGGAGUCGUGGUUGCCUCGGGAACACUGGGGAACCAUUAAUUCUCUCAUGGUGGGUCUCGGCCAAACAGUAUGCACCCCACUCCGCCCGAAGUGUGGCAUCUGUGAACUUAGCGACAUUUGCCCGAACGCGUUCAAGGAGACACAGCAGAAGCGCCUCCGUGCAAAAGCGCCCCUCGUGGAGAAAGAGGAGCCUGUGUCAAACAAGAAGCGGAGAAAAUGAACGUAGUGUACUGCUCUCCACUGUCACCAGUGAGCGUGCCACUCGAGCUUGCCUCCACCUUGUCGCCACCGAAGGUGUGCUCGCUCGUACAAUGCUUCUUUGUUGUUGUUUGCAUGCGCUUGUUGUCGUCGUAGUACGUGUUGGACGGCACCAUUCCGUUGAGGAAGUAAG